CCUACGGGGGGCUGCAGUCGAGAAUCAUUCACAAUGGGGGAAACCCUGAUGGUGCGACGCCGCGUGGGGGAAUGAAGGUCUUCGGAUUGUAAACCCCUGUCAUGUGGGAGCAAAUUAAAAAGAUAGUACCACAAGAGGAAGAGACGGCUAACUCUGUGCCAGCAGCCGCGGUAAUACAGAGGUCUCAAGCGUUGUUCGGAAUCACUGGGCGUAAAGCGUGCGUAGGCGGUUGCGUAAGUCGUGUGUGAAAGGCGCGGGCUCAACCCGCGGACGGCACAUGAUACUGCGAGACUAGAGUAAGGGAGGGGGAACCGGAAUUCUCGGUGUAGCAGUGAAAUGCGUAGAUAUCGAGAGGAACACUCGUGGCGAAGGCGGGUUCCUGGACAUUAACUGACGCUGAGGCACGAAGGCCAGGGGAGCGAAAGGGAUUAGAUACCCCAGUAGUC
rnacentral:rRNA from 1 species